rnacentral:lncRNA from 1 species
GAGAGAUUUGGUCUGAAUUCUUGUAUUCUCUGAUUGUGAGGUUUGUUCAGUCACCUCUUGGGACCUGCUGUGCCCUGAUUAUGAAGUGAUACUCGCUUGUCAGCACCAAGAAAUGGAAGAGGGAAGUAUUGCCCCCUCUUCAACUUCCCAGAAAACGAAACAAUAUUCAUAACUGUACUUCCAAGAACCAUCAAGAGUAUCUGAAUUCGUUACUUACACAGCAAGAAAACGGAUGAAUAGCAUGUGCUCUGAAACUAGACUGCUUGGGUCCCAAUCGGAGCUAUGCUACUCCAACAGCUGUGUGACCAGGGGCAAAUUUCUUAACUUCUCAUCUGUAAAAGGGAGAAAGGAGUAGAACCUUCUUCACAGGGAUUUUGCGAAGAUUCAAUGAAUUAAUAUUCUCUGAGGCCAUUUGAACAGUGUCAUAUCCCACCAGUCCCUCAGUACAAGCUCGGUGCCUUCCUCCUGCAAUUGCCUUCCCAGAUCUAUCCAGUCCAGAGUAAAAUCUCCCUCCCUGAAACCCAGCACUGAAGAUACGUACUGUUCUUGAAGCUAUUAGGAGUUUGGACUCCGAUGCCUAUAACCAUGCGAUCCUGGCUAAUAAGGCCACUCAUUUGGGAACCACCACGGGCCACCACAGCCCUUGAGCACCACCCGUCAUGUACUAAGACCACAGCCGAAAUGUGUGACUCGCAAGCAGGCCUUCUGGGCAGGUGCAGGAAUUUUUAGCAGUUAUUUCAAACGGAAGACCAGCCCUGAGCUAACAUCUGUGCCCAUCUUCCUCUACUUUAUAUGUGGGAUGCCUACCACAGCAUGGCUUGCCAAGUGGUGCCAUGUCUGCACCCAGGAUCCGAACCAAAGAACCCCAGGCCACCGAAGCGGAACGUGCACACAACUGCUGCGCCACUGGGCUGGCCCCUACUGGGCAUUUUAAAAGCUAUUAUUUACAUGCAUUUGACCUGCAGAUUAAACCAAUGAAGAAUGUGUGGUCCUAGUUCACAGGUGGGUGAACAGGGGCUCAGAGAGUUUAAGAAACCUCCUUGAGGUCUCAUUGCUGCUGGGGUCCAGACCCGGAAUUUGAGUCAAGGUCCGCCUAAGUCCAAAGACUCCAUUCUACUUCUCCAUCAGGUCACCAGAAUUUUUCCUGUGUUGCAGGGAGGCAAGAAGGCUAGUGGUUAAGAGAGAGGGUUUGGGCUCAGGUUGGCCUGGAUGCAAAUUGGAGCAAGUUAUGUCAUCUCUCUCAUCCUCCACUUUUGUCUGCAUCUGUAAAAUAAGGAUAAUGAUGAUGGUUUGGGGCUGAAUAGGAUAGUGCAUGUCUAGUCCUUGGCACAGUGCUUGGUCCAUAGAAAGCACUCAAUAAACCUUAGUGAUUAUUAUCAGCGUGGAGGAGGAGAAAUGACCACAAAGGAUUUGUUUGCUGUUGACAGUAGCUCAGGAAACAGUGGUCCAUCAUCGUUAACACAAUCUGUUUAGGAUUGAGGCCGAAGCAGUGGGGAGGGUGGGGGUCGGGUUAGGAGUAAGGUGGUGCUUCUGCCUGGGUUGGAGAAGGGGGCCCUGGACAUAAAGAUUUAAACAGGCAUCCAAGGGGUCCUCCCCAGGCCUCAGCUGGAAAACCAGUGGGUGGCAGACAGGCUUGGGGGGAGACUUCUCAUUGUUUAUUUGAAUUUGGAACCACGCGGAUGCAUUAAACUUAUUCCAAAAUAAUAAAUUGCAUUAAAAAACCUGUUUUGCGAUGUGGGGUCCAUGCUGAGAACGAGAAGACUGGGCUCUAAGGAUAAUAAUAAUCCCUUUGUAUUUUUUUUCCAGUCCUGGGAGGGCUUCGGUCAGGCAAGGCGGGUUGCACACCAGGAUUGGGACUAUUUCAGCUGGACUCUGAUUUCACAGAUCCAAGGGAACAUUUUAACCUCAGCUAUCCUCC